AGCGAACGCUGGCGGCAGGCCUAACACAUGCAAGUCGAACGAACCCUUCGGGGUUAGUGGCGGACGGGUGAGUAACACGUGGGAACGUGCCUUUAGGUUCGGAAUAACUCAGGGAAACUUGUGCUAAUACCGAAUGUGCCCUUCGGGGGAAAGAUUUAUCGCCUUUAGAGCGGCCCGCGUCUGAUUAGCUAGUUGGUUGAGGUAAUGGCUCACCAAGGCGACGAUCAGUAGCUGGUCUGAGAGGAUGAUCAGCCACAUUGGGACUGAGACACGGCCCAAACUCCUACGGGAGGCAGCAGUGGGGAAUCUUGCGCAAUGGGCGAAAGCCUGACGCAGCCAUGCCGCGUGAAUGAUGAAGGUCUUAGGAUUGUAAAAUUCUUUCACCGGGGACGAUAAUGACGGUACCCGGAGAAGAAGCCCCGGCUAACUUCGUG
rnacentral:rRNA from 1 species